AUUGAACGCUGGCGGCAGGCCUAACACAUGCAAGUCGAACGAGUGGCGGACGGGUGAGUAAUAUCUGGGAACGUGCCCGAUGGAGGGGGAUAACUAAUGGAAACGGUAGCUAAUACCGCAUACCAUCGGAUGUGCCCAGAUGGGAUUAGCUAGUAGGUGGGGUAACGGCUCACCAAGGCGACGAUCCCUAGCUGGUCUGAGAGGAUGACCAGCCACACGGGAACGGAGACACGGUCCAGACCCCUACGGGAGGCAGCAGUGGGGAAUAUUGAACAAUGGGGGCAAGCCUGAUGCAGCCAUGCCGCGUGGAUGAAGAAGGCCUUCGGUUGGUAAAGUACUUUCAGCGGGGAGGCGUUACUCGCAGAAGAAGCACCGGCUAACUCCGUGCCAGCAGCCGCGGUAAUAC
rnacentral:rRNA from 1 species